AUCUUCCACAAUGGACGAAAGUCUGAUGGAGCAACGCCGCGUGAGUGAUGAAGGCUUUAGGGUCGUAAAACUCUGUUGUUGGAGAAGAACGUGUGUGAGAGUAACUGCUCAUGCAGUGACGGUAUCCAACCAGAAAGCCACGGCUAACUACGUGCCAGCAGCCGCGGUAAUACGUAGGUGGCAAGCGUUAUCCGGAUUUAUUGGGCGUAAAGCGAGCGCAGGCGGUUUUUUAAGUCUAAUGUGAAAGCCUUCGGCUUAACCGAAGAAGYGCAUUGGAAACUGGGAAACUUGAGUGCAGAAGAGGACAGUGGAACUCCAUGUGUAGCGGUGAAAUGCGUAGAUAUAUGGAAGAACACCAGUGGCGAAGGCGGCUGUCUGGUCUGUAACUGACGCUGAGGCUCGAAAGCAUGGGUAGCGAACAGGAUUAGAUACCCUGGUAGUCCAUGCCGUAAACGAUGAAUGCUAAGUGUUGGAGGGUUUCCGCCCUUCAGUGCUGCAGCUAACGCAUUAAGCAUUCCGCCUGGGGAGUACGACCGCAAGGUUGAAACUCAAAAGAAUUGACGGGGGCCCGCACAAGCGGUGGAGCAUGUGGUUUAAUUCGAAGCUACGCGAAGAACCUUACCAGGUCUUGACAUCUUCUGCUAACCUAAGAGAUUAGGCGUUCCCUUCGGGGACAGAAUGACAGGUGGUGCAUGGUUGUCGUCAGCUCGUGUCGUGAGAUGUUGGGUUAAGUCCCGCAACGAGCGCAACCCCUAUUAUUAGUUGCCAGCAUUAAGUUGGGCACUCUAGUGAGACUGCCGGUGACAAACCGGAGGAAGGUGGGGACGACGUCAAAUCAUCAUGCCCCUUAUGACCUGGGCUACACACGUGCUACAAUGGACGGUACAACGAGUUGCGAGACCGCGAGGUUAAGCUAAUCUCUUAAAACCGUUCUCAGUUCGGACUGCAGGCUGCAACUCGCCUGCACGAAGUUGGAAUCGCUAGUAAUCGCGGAUCAGCAUGCCGCGGUGAAUACGUUCCCGGGCCUUGUACACACCGCCCGUCACACCUAAAGUUUGUAACACCCAAAGCCGGUGGAGUAACCUUCGGGAGCUAGCCGUCUAAG
rnacentral:rRNA from 1 species